ACGUUUUAUACUAACUUGGCAAAAAUGAAGGAGUUGUUGCUGUUUGUGAUCGGGAUUGUGUUAGCGGUAAGAUCAUUGGCUCUUGAUGCCAUAGAUGCUUGCCCAACAACCCAUGCCUAAAUGGUGGAGUUUGCACUGAUGGAAAUGGGCCGGGUGUCUUUACUUGUGUAUGUGCGACCGGAUACACUGGAACCACAUGUAAUAACGCCACAGAUGCCUGCUCGCCCAACAACACAUGCCUAAAUGGCGGAAUUCGUGUAAGGGGUGAAAUGUCCAUCCUUGUAUUAUGUACAUAGUUGGUUUGGGUUCAGGUUUAGUUACAAUCUUUACAGGAGUAGCAUCCCUCAAUUAAGUCUUUAGUGCCAACAGGAAUGGUACCUACUCUGUUAUUGUAAAAGAGUGAAGCAAAAAAAACACUCGUUUUGUCCGCCAUACCACUCUUGCAAAAAGCCAUGGCGGACAACUCUUUUAAGAGUGAAAGACGGGUAUCUUCAACUCGAUUUAGGAGUGAAGUUUGUUCCAAUUUCACUCAGAAAAAGUACUGAGAGAGUAAAAUGACACGUAAGUCUAUACUUGGUUCUUUAUUUUAUGUAUGAGGCAGAGUUUUCACACAGAAUGGAUGUUUAUUUAAUUAAACACGAAAUAUUCUAGAGCCUAACAUUUUAAUUCAUUGACCAAAUUCCAUCACUUGAAAAAAUUAAAUGUAGUGUAGGGUUGUUGUCAAUUUUCGAUUAUGGAUAAAACCAAAAUGAAUAUUAUUUAGGCCUAUCCCUGAUGCAAAUUUAACAUCUAUUAAGUAUAAUGUUGUAGUUAGGAGUUUACUAAAGUUUAUUUGUAAAAUAAACAUGCU